rnacentral:rRNA from 1 species
AUGACUCUCGGCAACGGAUAUCUCGGCUCUCGCAUCGAUGAAGAACGUAGCGAAAUGCGAUACGUGGUGUGAAUUGCAGAAUCCCGUGAACCAUCGAGUCUUUGAACGCAAGUUGCGCCCGAAGCCAUUAGGUUGAGGGCACGCCUGCCUGGGUGUCACAC